rnacentral:misc_RNA from 1 species
GAUGAAGACGUAGCGAAAUGCGAUAAGUAAUGUGAAUUGCAGAAUUCAGUGAAUCAUCGAAUCUUUGAACGCACAUUGCGCCCCCUGGUAUUCCGGGGGGCAUGCCUGUCCGAGCGUCAUUACAACCCUCAAGCUCAGCUUGGUGUUGGGCCCCGCCGCCCCGGCGGGCCCUAAAGUCAGUGGCGGUGCCGUCCGGCUCCGAGCGUAGUAAUUCUUCUCGCUCUGGAGGUCCGGUCGUGUGCUCGCCAGCAACCCCCAAUUUUUUUCAGGUUGACCUCGGAUCAGGUAGGGAUACCCGCUGAACUUAAGCAUAUCAAUAAGCGGAGGA